GAGUAACCUGCCCCAGACUCUGGGAUAACUCCGGGAAACCGGGGCUAAUACUGGAUAUCACUUCCUGGUGCAUGCCGGGUUGUUGAAAGGGUUUCUGGUCUGGGAUGGGCUCGCGGCCUAUCAGCUUGUUGGUGGGGUGAUGGCCUACCAAGGCGAUGACGGGUAGCCGGCCUGAGAGGGUGACCGGCCACACUGGGACUGAGACACGGCCCAGACUCCUACGGGAGGCAGCAGUGGGGAAUAUUGCACAAUGGGCGCAAGCCUGAUGCAGCGACGCCGCGUGAGGGAUGACGGCCUUCGGGUUGUAAACCUCUUUCAGUAGGGAAGAAGCCACUUGUGGUGACGGUACCUGCAGAAGAAGCGCCGGCUAACUACGUGCCAGCAGCCGCGGUAAUACGUAGGGCGCAAGCGUUAUCCGGAAUUAUUGGGCGUAAAGAGCUCGUAGGCGGUUUGUCGCGUCUGCUGUGAAAUCCCGAGGCUCAACCUCGGGCCUGCAGUGGGUACGGGCAGACUAGAGUGCGGUAGGGGAGAUUGGAAUUCCUGGU
rnacentral:rRNA from 1 species